GAUUAACGCAUGACAUACUGCAGUCGAGCGGACCGACGGGAGCUUGCUCCCUUAGGUCAGCGGCGGACGGGUGAGUAACACGUGGGUAACCUGCCUGUAAGACUGGGAUAACUCCGGGAAACCGGGGCUAAUACCGGAUGCUUGUUUGAACCGCAUGGUUCAAACAUAAAAGGUGGCUUUUCGCUACCACUUACAGAUGGACCCGCGGCGCAUUAGCUAGUUGGUGGGGUAACGGCUCACCAAGGCGACGAUGCGUAGCCGACCUGAGAGGGUGAUCGGCCACACUGGGACUGAGACACGGCCCAGACUCCUACGGGAGGCAGCAGUAGGGAAUCUUCCGCAAUGGACGAAAGUCUGACGGAGCAACGCCGCGUGAGUGAUGAAGGUUUUCGGAUCGUAAAACUCUGUUGUUAGGGAAGAACAUGUACCGUUCGAACAGGGCGGUACCUUGACGGUACCUAACCAGAAAGCCACGGCUAACUACGUGCCAGCAGCCGCGGUAAUACGUAGGUGGCAAGCGUUGUCCGGAAUUAUUGGGCGUAAAGCGCGCGCAGGCGGUUCUUUAAGUCUGAUGUGAAAGCCCCCGGCUCAACCGGGGAGGGUCAUUGGAAACUGGGGAACUUGAGUGCAGAAGAGGAGAGUGGAAUUCCACGUGUAGCGGUGAAAUGCGUAGAGAUGUGGAGGAACACCAGUGGCGAAGGCGACUCUCUGGUCUGUAACUGACGCUGAGGCGCGAAAGCGUGGGGAGCGAACAGGAUUAGAUACCCUGGUAGUCCACGCCGUAAACGAUGAGUGCUAAGUGUUAGAGGGUUUCCGCCCUUUAGUGCUGCAGCAAACGCAUUAAGCACUCCGCCUGGGGAGUACGGUCGCAAGACUGAACUCAAGGAAUUGACGGGGCCCGCACAAGCGGUGGAGCAUGUGGUUUAAUUCGAGCAACGCGAAGAACCUUACCAGUCUUGACAUCCUCUGACACCCUAGAGAUAGGGCUUCCUCUUCGGGGCAGAGUGACAGUGGUGCAUGGUUGUCGUCAGCUCGUGUCGUGAGAUGUCGGAUAAGUCCGCACGAGCGCACCCUUGAUCUUAGUUGCCAGCAUCAGUUGGGCAUUCUAAGGUGACU
rnacentral:rRNA from 1 species